rnacentral:tRNA from 1 species
GGAGCCAUAGCUCAGUUGGCUAGAGCGCCUGCCUGUCACGCAGGAGGUCGCGGGUUCGAGUCCCGUUGGCUCCGCCA